GGUAACCAGGAACCGUACCCCAAACCGACACAGGUGGUUGGGUAGAGAAUACCAAGGCGCUUGAGAGAACUCGGGUGAAGGAACUAGGCAAAAUGGCACCGUAACUUCGGGAGAAGGUGCGCCGGUGAGGGUGAAGCAUUUACUGCGUAAGCCCAUGCCGGUCGAAGAUACCAGGCCGCUGCGACUGUUUAUUAAAAACACAGCACUCUGCAAACACGAAAGUGGACGUAUAGGGUGUGACGCCUCCCCGGUGCCGGAAGGUUAAUUGAUGGGGUUAGCUAACGCGAAGCUCUUGAUCGAAGCCCCGGUAAACGGCGGCCGUAACAAUAACGGUCCUAAGGUAGCGAAAUUCCUUGUCGGGUAAGUUCCGACCUGCACGAAUGGCGUAACGAUGGCGGCGCUGUCUCCACCCGAGACUCAGUGAAAUUGAAAUCGCUGUGAAGAUGCAGUGUAUCCGCGGCUAGACGGAAAGACCCCGUGAACCUUUACUAUAGCUUUGCACUGGACUUUGAAUUUGCUUGUGUAGGAUAGGUGGGAGGCUUUGAAGCGUGGACGCCAGUUCGCGUGGAGCCAACCUUGAAAUACCACCCUGGCAACUUUGAGGUUCUAACUCAGGUCCGUUAUCCGGAUCGAGGACAGUGUAUGGUGGGUAGUUUGACUGGGGCGGUCUCCUCCUAAAGAGUAACGGAGGAGUACGAAGGUGCGCUCAGACCGGUCGGAAAUCGGUCGUAGAGUAUAAAGGCAAAAGCGCGCUUGACUGCGAGACAGACACGUCGAGCAGGUACGAAAGUAGGUCUUAGUGAUCCGGUGGUUCUGUAUGGAAGGGCCAUCGCUCAACGGAUAAAAGGUACUCCGGGGAUAACAGGCUGAUACCGCCCAAGAGUUCAUAUCGACGGCGGUGUUUGGCACCUCGAUGUCGGCUCAUCACAUCCUGGGGCUGAAGCCGGUCCCAAGGGUAUGGCUGUUCGCCAUUUAAAGUGGUACGCGAGCUGGGUUUAGAACGUCGUGAGACAGUUCGGUCCCUAUCUGCCGUGGACGUUUGAGAUUUGAGAGGGGCUGCUCCUAGUACGAGAGGACCGGAGUGGACGAACCUCUGGUGUUCCGGUUGUCACGCCAGUGGCAUUGCCGGGUAGCUAUGUUCGGAAUAGAUAACCGCUGAAAGCAUCUAAGCGGGAAACUAGCCUCAAGAUGAGAUCUCACUGGGACCUUGAGUCCCCUGAAGGGCCGUCGAAGACUACGACGUUGAUAGGUUGGGUGUGUAAGCGCUGUGAGGCGUUGAGCUAACCAAUACUAAUUGCCCGUGAGGCUUGACGA
rnacentral:rRNA from 1 species